AUGUACCCCUGCGCGUGCACGAACCCGUCGAUCACCGACUCGAUCACCACCACCCUCGAGAACUCCUUCCACGGCCGCCCCAGGAAGGUCUUCACCGUCGACGACUUGCUGGCGAGGGCCUCAUCGGCCACGAUGCGGGUCCGGUGCAGGACGAAGCCGGUGGUCUGCUGCCGGUCGCGGCGGCCGUGCGCGGUCACCACGCCAGGCUUCCCCGGGAGCGGGUCCUUGACGAGCAGCACGCAGCGCUGGAACACGGCGGCCGCGUCGCCGAAGAUGAAGUCCACGGUGCCGGAGACAAUGCAGCUGCGGUAG
rnacentral:rRNA from 1 species